rfam:Ornithorhynchus anatinus chromosome 11, whole genome shotgun sequence.
CGCCUUUCAGAAUCGCACCUGGAGGGUUUCCAGUACUCUACCAGUCUCGGCUAUGGGAGAGAGAAUCAAGCAGAGGCGUAUCCGUUCCAUUUCUACCUUGGCCAGUGGAUAGCGAGUGGAAGAUAAUCUGCUACAAGU